rnacentral:lncRNA from 1 species
CCGUGCUCUGAAAUCGGUAUUAUACGUUGGCAUAAUGAACAGACAACAUCUAACAAAGUAAAGAAAUAUUUACAAUGAUCGAUAAUAAAGUUUUUUGUAGAACCACUGAAUCGAUUCCACUGCUAGUUGAGGUUUCCUUCCACCAGCCUAAUUGAUAGAACUGUGUUAACAUGACAUUACACUGAUGUGAUCAUAUUAGUAAAUCA